GGUUUUCAAGCCCUCGAGCUGCUCGUUCUCCGCGGCACUUACUUGAUCAGAUGGAGUUCGCCUGUUGAAUCUCCUAACCACAAAGCCAAGAGAUCCUUGAGGAGAUUCUCGGCCUGCGCGUCAGCAACUUGUUAGUAGCGGCGGGCAUUGUUUCCGUGACGACACUACACCGGGAACAGCAGAAAGAAAACACUCGGAUACUCGAGACUCUCGGACUCUCUCCUCGAAACUAGAGCAGCAACAUCAAACAGGCUCAAAACAAACUCAAGCUCGAGACGCAGCGAAUGCAAAACUUACAGUUACCGCCAACCGUAGCGAGCACAGAACUUUAGCUCUCGACGAGGCCAACUCCACUUGGAACUAUCUCUCUCGCAAAAUCAUCGGGACUUCCAAGCAAAAUACGAAUGGAGCAGGAGCCAAAGCUAAGCAAACAAGUGCACUGCUAGCUGGGCUGUGGCUGGACGAGAAACAAGAGGAAGCGACAAAAGGGAAGAGGCGGCCUGGCAAAAGCGCGAAAGACAAAAACAACCAAAUGAGCCGCUACUGCGACUACGAUCUGCAAGCUGAGAACGCGGCCAUGAAUGAGAAUGGUGGGGACGCCGAGUGGGAAUAGAUCAACUUUAAAUGCACCAGACAGGGAGCAGCCUCUCGCCGCGGCUUUCGUCCAGGAAAACUUGAUCACCCACCAUCGCUCAAGCGGCAGCACAGCAGCACAGCAGCACAGCAGGCUUUUGUGCUCUUGUUCGGUUCGGUUUUUAAUAACGCAGAGAAGAGAAGAGCCAUGAACUUGCAGAUACUGCGGCGUUUAUAGCCUUUCUUUGAAAGCUUCACAUUCGAUCCAGAUUUAAUGCAGCGAACCUGUGCGUCAUCGCGCAAAAGCUAUACGAGCUUUUCCAUCGCUGGAAAGCUUUUAGCUGCACUUCCCGAAAGAUUCACUCUUUCCUUGUUUCGCUGUGUACCACGCCAGGCGUCGCUCUACCUCGUGGCUACGAGUGCGUCCGUUCAAUCUGGCAAGAGCAUUGCUUUUCCUCUUUGGCCGACCCACGUUGAUAAGGCUGCAAACGCUCUGUCCAGUUUUUCGGUGGCCGUAAAGGAAUCUUCUGGUCAUGGCCGGUCAAAGUAAUAUGGUUGACCAGAUUGUGGAUGGUCAACGCCAUAUGCUCGCUAGUUAUCUAAUUAAUUGCACCGUACAAAUUGUAUGUCUCCCAGCUUGGUUUUGAUUGAUUUGAUUUCCAAA